AAGACUAUACUUUCAGGAAUCAUUUCUACAGUAUAUCACUAGAGAAGUUUCUCUGAGCAAUCAAAAACCAUGAGGAGGAGCCAGAACAUUCUCUCCUGUGUGUGAAGCCAGUUCUAGGUGUUGCUUCUGCAACUGCCUUUUGCAAUUGAUGAUCGUUCUUCCCUUUCUUUGAAAGGGUUAGAGGGGAAGGGUGCAGUCUGAGUGGU